AUUGAACGCUGGCGGCAGGCUUAACACAUGCAAGUCGAGCGGAGAGAGGUAGCUUGCUACUGAUCUUAGCGGCGGACGGGUGAGUAAUGCUUAGGAAUCUGCCUAUUAGUGGGGGACAACAUUUCGAAAGGAAUGCUAAUACCGCAUACGUCCUACGGGAGAAAGCAGGGGAUCUUCGGACCUUGCGCUAAUAGAUGAGCCUAAGUCGGAUUAGCUGUUGGUGGGGUAAAGGCCUACCAAGGCGACGAUCUGUAGCGGGUCUGAGAGGAUGAUCCGCCACACUGGGACUGAGACACGGCCCAGACUCCUACGGGAGGCAGCAGUGGGGAAUAUUGGACAAUGGGCGCAAGCCUGAUCUAGCCAUGCCGCGUGUGUGAAGAAGGCCUUAUGGUUGUAAAGCACUUUAAGCGAGGAGGAGGCUACUUUAGAUAAUACCUAGAGAUAGUGGACGUUACUCGCAGAAUAAGCACCGGCUAACUCUGUGCCAGCCGCCGCCGUAAAAC
rnacentral:rRNA from 1 species